rnacentral:rRNA from 1 species
CUAUGCGCCUUGCCAGCCCGCUCAGGUGUGCCAGCAGCCGCGGUAAUACGUAGGGGCAAGCGUUAUCCGGAUUUACUGGGUGUAAAGGGAGCGCAGACGGCGCGGCAAGUCCGGAGUGAAAGCCCGGGGCCAACCCGGGACUGCUCUGGAAACUGCGGCGCUCGAGUGCCGGAGGGGCAGGCGGAAUUCCUAGUGUAGCGGUGAAAUGCGUAGAUAUUAGGAGGAACACCAGUGGCGAAGGCGGCCUGCUGGACGGCGACUGACGUUGAGGCUCGAAAGCGUGGGAGCAAACAGG